GCUGAUAGUAGCUUAAGAAUUAAAGCAUAAGACUCUUAAUCUUAGUAUGUUAUAGAUAUGAACCUAUUAGCAC
rnacentral:tRNA from 1 species